rnacentral:rRNA from 1 species
CCCCUAGAUGUUCUGGGCCGCACGCGCGCUACACUGAUUCAUGCAACAAGUUUUGUCCUUGGCUGAUAGGCCUGGGUAAUCUUUGAACGUGAAUCGUGAUGGGGAUAGAUGAUUGCAAUUAUUCAUCUUCAACGAGGAAUUCCUAGUAAACGCAAGUCAUCAGCUUGCAUUGAUUACGUCCCUGCCCUUUGUACACACCGCCCGUCGCACCUACCGAUUGAAUGGUCCGGUGAAAUCUUCGGAUCUGAGAGAUGUCUGAUUAAUUUCGGACGCCUUUUGGAAAAGUUGCUUAAACCUUACCAUUUAGAGGAAGGUGAAGUCGUAACA